GGUGCAGGUGGCUUUGUAAGUCAGGUGUGAAAGCCCAGGGCUCAACCCUGGAAGUGCAUUUGAUACUGCGAAGCUUGAGUGCUAGAGAGGUUAUUAGAAUACCUGGUGUAGUGGUGAAAUACGUAGAUAUCAGGUGGAAUACCGGAGGCGAAGGCGGAUAACUGGCUAGACACUGACACUCAGACCCGAAAGCGUGGGGAUCAAACA
rnacentral:rRNA from 1 species